CGCCCGCAGCAGCGACACUGUUAUCAUUUGUUCUUUAUCCGCGGCCCGUUCGUUAGAUCUGUGCUGAUGUCGAUGUAGUGUAAAGCUAGUGAUUGUUUAGCCCAAUGAUGUUUCAUUACCGCUGAUUUGAAUAAGGAAUUUUGAACUACGCUUAAAUAUGAUCAAACGUCUCUUAUCUCUCGUGAUGGCUGUCAGGUGACUAAUGUUUUGAUAGUGCUAUAAUUGCUCUAAUUGUCAAAUUCCACUUGACUAACGUCACUUACUGAAAUUGCCCUUUGCAUUUAACAUUCCUCUGUUACUAGCGGUUUCUUUAAGGCUAUUGGAAGGUCAGAACAUAUACUUGGUCAAGUUUGUGCUAGAACUGUUUGAUUUUCCUUGUUCGUCUGCCCUAGGCCGAGCGCUUACCUCUUAAGCCAUGGGGUGGCGUGGUAUUCCACGAGAAAAGGUUGUUGUGGCGCACGUUAUACGUGUGAUGGGCAUACAUCAAACAUACCAUUCUGGCUUCCAUUCUGUGCUAGUAGUGGCAGCUAGGAAAGCCUGUGUGGAUGACACAUACAAAAAUACA